rnacentral:rRNA from 1 species
GACGAACGCUGGCGGCGUGCCUAAUACAUGCAAGUUGAGCGCUGAAGGUUGGUACUUGUACCCACUGGAUGAGCAGCGAACGGGUGAGUAACGCGUGGGGAAUCUGCCUUUGAGCGGGGGACAACAUUUGGAAACGAAUGCUAAUACCGCAUAAAAACUUUAAACACAAGUUUUAAGUUUGAAAGAUGCAAUUGCAUCACUCAAAGAUGAUCCCGCGUUGUAUUAGCUAGUUGGUUAGGUAAAGGCUCACCAAGGCGAAGAUACAUAGCCGACCUGAAAGGGCGGUCGGCCAAAUUGGGAAUGAGACACGGCCCAAACUCCUACGGGAGGCAGCAGUAGGGAAUCUUCGGCAAUGGACGAAAGUCUGACCGAGCAACGCCGGGUGAGUGAAGAAGGUUUUCGGAUCGUAAAACUCUGUUGGUAGAGAAGAAAGUUGGUGAGAGUGGAAAGCUCAUCAAGUGACGGUAACUACCCAGAAAGGGACGGCUAACUACGUG